CCAACAGGGAUUCCCCUAGUAACGGCGAGUGAAGCGGGAACAGCUCAAAUUUGAAAUCUGGCCCUCGGGUCCGAGUUGUAAUUUGUAGAGGAUGCUUUUGGUGCGGUGCCUUCCGAGUUCCCUGGAACGGGACGCCUUAGAGGGUGAGAGCCCCGUACGGUUGGACGCCUAGCCUCUGUAAAGCUCCUUCGACGAGUCGAGUAGUUUGGGAAUGCUGCUCUAAAUGGGAGGUAUAUUUCUUCUAAAGCUAAAUACUGGCCAGAGACCGAUAGCGCACAAGUAGAGUGAUCGAAAGAUGAAAAGCACUUUGAAAAGAGGGUUAAAUAGCACGUGAAAUUGUUGAAAGGGAAGCGUUUAUCACCAGACUUUUUCUAGGGGGAUCAUCCGGUGUUCUCACCGGUGCACUUCCCCUAGUUGAGGCCAGCAUCGGUUUUCGGAGGGGGAUAAAAGUUUCGGGAAUGUGACUCCCCCGGGAGUGUUAUAGCCCGUUACAUAAUACCCUUCUGGGGACCGAGGUUCGCGCAUCUGCAAGGAUGCUGGCAUAAUGGUGAUCAACGACCCGUCUUGAAACACGGACCAAGGAGUCGAACAUUUAUGCGAGUGUUUGGGUGUCAAACCCUCACGCGUAAUGAAAGUGAACGGAGGUGAGAGCCCUUACGGGUGCAUCAUCGACCGAUCCUGAUGUCUUCGGAUGGAUUUGAGUAAGAGCAUAACUGUUCGGACCCGAAAGAUGGUGAACUAUGCGUGGAUAGGGUGAAGCCAGGAGAAAUCCUGGUGGAGGCUCGCAGCGGUUCUGACGUGCAAAUCGAUCGUCAAAUCUGCGCAUGGGGGCGAAAGACUAAUCG
rnacentral:rRNA from 1 species